rnacentral:rRNA from 1 species
AGUGAACGCUGGCGGUAGGCCUAACACAUGCAAGUCGAACGGCAGCACAGUAAGAGCUUGCUCUUACGGGUGGCGAGUGGCGGACGGGUGAGGAAUACAUCGGAAUCUACUCUUUCGUGGGGGAUAACGUAGGGAAACUUACGCUAAUACCGCAUACGACCUACGGGUGAAAGCAGGGGAUCUUCGGACCUUGCGCGAUUGAAUGAGCCGAUGUCGGAUUAGCUAGUUGGCGGGGUAAAGGCCCACCAAGGCGACGAUCCGUAGCUGGUCUGAGAGGAUGAUCAGCCACACUGGAACUGAGACACGGUCCAGACUCCUACGGGAGGCAGCAGUGGGGAAUAUUGGACAAUGGGCGCAAGCCUGAUCCAGCCAUACCGCGUGGGUGAAGAAGGCCUUCGGGUUGUAAAGCCCUUUUGUUGGGAAAGAAAAGCAGCAGGUUAAUACCCCGCUGUUCUGACGGUACCCAAAGAACAAGCACCGGCUAACUUCGU